rnacentral:rRNA from 1 species
UAGGGAAUCUUCGGCAAUGGACGAAAGUCUGACCGAGCAACGCCGCGUGAGUGAAGAAGGCUUUCGGAUCGUAAAACUCUGUUGUUAGAGAAGAACAAGGACGUUAGUAACUGAACGUCCCCUGACGGUAUCUAACCAGAAAGCCACGGCUAACUACGUGCCAGCAGCCGCGGUAAUACGUAGGUGGCAAGCGUUGUCCGGAUUUAUUGGGCGUAAAGCGAGCGCAGGCGGUUUCUUAAGUCUGAUGUGAAAGCCCCCGGCUCAACCGGGGAGGGUCAUUGGAAACUGGGAGACUUGAGGGCAGAAGAGGAGAGUGGAAUUCCAUGUGUAGCGGUGAAAUGCGUAGAUAUAUGGAGGAACACCAGUGGCGAAGGCGGCUCUCUGGUCUGUAACUGACGCUGAGGCUCGAAAGCGUGGGGAGCAAACAGG